UACAGAGGUCUCAAGCGUUGUUCGGAUUCAUUGGGCGUAAAGGGUGCGUAGGUGGCGCGGUAAGUCGGGUGUGAAAUUUCGGAGCUUAACUCCGAAACUGCAUUCGAUACUGCCGUGCUUGAGGACUGGAGAGGAGACUGGAAUUUACGGUGUAGCAGUGAAAUGCGUAGAUAUCGUAAGGAAGACCAGUGGCGAAGGCGAGUCUCUGGACAGUUACCGACGCUGAGGCACGAAGGUCAGGGGAGCAAACGGG
rnacentral:rRNA from 1 species